CAUGUACGAAACCCUGGUGAGAGCCAGGGCUGCCCGAAAGGGACCCGUAACACAGGUGCUGCAUGGCUGUCGUCAGCUCGUGUCCUUAUAUGUUGGGUUAAGUCCCGCAACCCGCCCAACCCUUGUCCCCACUUUCUACGCAAGAGCACUCCGGGGAGACUGCCGGUGACAAACCGGAGGAAGGUGGGGAUGACGUCAAGUCCUCAUGGCCCUUAUGGCUAGGGCUUCACACGUCAUACAAUGGUCGGAACAGAGGGUUGCGAACCCGCGAGGUGGACCCAAUCCCCAAAAAACCGAUCCUAGUCCGGAUUGCAGUCUCCAACUCCACUGCAUGAAGCUGGAAUCGUUAGUAAUCGCGGAUCAGCAUGCCGCGGUGAAUACGU
rnacentral:rRNA from 1 species